UACGAAGGGGGCUAGCGUUGUUCGGAAUCACUGGGCGUAAAGGGUGCGUAGGCGGGUCUUUAAGUCAGGGGUGAAAUCCUGGAGCUCAACUCCAGAACUGCCUUUGAUACUGGCGAUCUUGAGUCCGGGAGAGGUGAGUGGAACUGCGAGUGUAGAGGUGAAAUUCGUAGAUAUUCGCAAGAACACCAGUGGCGAAGGCGGCUCACUGGCCCGGUACUGACGCUGAGGUGCGAAAGCGUGGGGAGCAAACAGG
rnacentral:rRNA from 1 species